UCUAAGUAUGGGUGUUCAACAAGGAACACGUGAAUCGUAUAUUCGAUGAUGCUCAUGCAUCGCUAAAGUAACAUGCACAUUAUCGAGUUCAUCGUCUGAAUUAGAUUCUAGUUCCAAUACACUAACAUCAUCACUACCAUUAUUGGACACCAUUGUUUCUUGUAAAUGCUUCUAAAGUUUAAUAUAAUUCAAUGCAUCAACACAAAAAAGAGCAACACAAUUAAAUAACGAAGUAGUACAUAACAUAGCAUGCAAUCCUUAUUGUCAAAUAUAAGCUACAAAUCAAAUUGUCAAAUAUAAGCUACAAACCAAAUUGUUCAAACUGCAUACAAACCAACAGUACUUAAGAAACAUAACCUACAACAUAACCUAAGGCAAACUCAUGCACCAGUCCAUCUUCCUCUUUUCAGGCAUCUCAAGAAAGAUAGGUCUCCAGGUAGGAUCUUCCUUGAGUUUGGUCAUAGCCUUCGAGUAAGAUACCCUCUAGGUCAUCCAUCCAUUGAGGGUUGUGAACAUGACUGAACAACGAGGGAAUCACAUUAUCUGGAGAGAAAAUAGUAAUACUCGCUGCUCUAGAUUUCACCCUCAGUUCGAGAUUUUCACUUCCUACGGCUUGUCUUUCUGCAAGAACAUUGAGAGAUGCCUAGUUGUCCAGAAUAGGAAUCCCUUUUUCUUGACUUGUUAAUGCCUUGGCGUAAUCGCCUUUCCCUCUCUUUGACCAGCUUAAAAUAUGAUUCGACGAUGACAGUGUAUAGAACUAGGAAUCUGAUUGACGAUGAACUCGCUAAUGUGCUUGUUACCUUAGCGAUCAUGAACAUCAUCGAAUAUACGAUUCAUGUGUUCCCGUCGAACAGCCAUACUUAGGACAUGACUCCUAUUAGAAGUUUUGGAACGUUAAUGAUGUGUCGGUGUUUCUGACCAAGUAGAUGAAAUCACUGUCUUCAUCGCAUUCUGUGAAGCGCACAGGAAUGUUGGAUAGUUACGUCAUUCUAAGUACCUAAUGGUUCAAGAGCAAGUGUGUAUAUUCUGCUCCAAUAGGUCAUAAUACUCUAUUUGUCAAGGCGUCACAAAGGCCGUGCCGCCUUGGCGCAAGGCGCAGCGCGGCAAACAACGUUGCGCCUGCCUAUGCGAGGGCGAGGCGCCUAGGAUGGCGCAAAAAGGCGCGCGCUUUUUAAAAGGCAAGGCAUGAAAAAGGCGCGCCUUUUGAAAUAUUUGGGGGUACAAAUGUGGUUGGACUUGUUUUAUUGGAAAAGUUUAUAUUUGUUUUCGUAAUUUUCUUCACAUUUAAUGUGUGUUUUGGGAUAAUAGAUAUCUUUUGUUUUGUUUCAAGUGAUAGAAAUUUAGAUGAAAUUUUUUUACAUAUUCAUGUCUUACGAAUGUUUUUUUGUAAACAAAAAAAAUAUUUUUUAAGCAUUUACUAUUCAUUUGUGCACAUUUUCUUAACCCAACCAAUAGAGAAUUAGUGGUUUUAAUUUUAUGCAAAUGUUUUGGUUUGGAUAAGUGUUAUGAAUAGUCAUUUCUUUGAUAAUUAUUAGUAUUUGGUUGAUAAAAACUAUUGAAAGUCAUUAUAUUUGGAUACUAUUACAUUAAAGUAAUAAAAGAAUAUACAUUACAUUUUUAUUUUGAAAAAUAUCCCACUUGGUCUCCUUGUCUCUACUGUAGUUGAAUUUUGAGCAAUUUGCAAAGCCUAAUACAAAUCCAACCAGAGCUGUCCAAAUCUAUCCAGACAUAUUGCACAGUAGAAAUGUUUUAAACGUAAGCACAAUUUUCUUUUUAGAUUUUGUAAAGCCUAAUUUCAAGCUUCGAAUACACAUGAUCAUCUUUUUUUCCCUAAAAGGUUGACUUUAUUUAAUGAGCAUAUUUGUUUAAUUUGGAUAUAUAUAUAUUAUAUAUAUUAUAUAUAUAUAAUAUAUAGAUAUAAACAUACCAAGCAGAAUUAAUGGUUUGUAAUUAAUGGUUUGUAUGAAUGACUAGACGGGGAACUCCUCGUCUAUUGCCGAAUUUUUUAUUAACUAAAAGCAGGGCAUUACAUGGAGAUUUACUUUACUAAUAUAUAUGUUUUAAUAAAUCAUUUUAUUCUGUUUUACAGUUUCCAUUAAUUCAGAAGUUCAUUUGUAUAGUCUGGAUUUAGUAGGAUUUGACUUGUCAUGAAAUUUUUUUUUGUUUUAAUAAGGGCAAAGUUACUAUAUGUUUCUCCUAUGACAAAAGGCGCUAGGGAGAGAAGCACAUAUAUGUUUUUUCAAGUUUUGAUUUGAAAAUAAUAAUUUUAUUUUUUAAAUGUGGGUUACUCAAUUGGGUGUCAAUUCGUUUAUAUUUUAGUUCUUCUUUAAGAAAAUUAAUUUGUUGUGUUUUUUGAUUAAUAGUAUUAAUAGAUAUAGAAUGAUUUUGUAAUUGAUUUAAUUUAAUAGUUUCUGGUUUAGAAAGAAAUUCAAAGAUGACUGUUUUACCAAAAGGUUUGGACGUUAAACCAUUAGCAUUAGUAGUAAAAGGAUAUAAUAAGUAAAUAAAAGGAAUUCCUAAAAUAACUUUGUCAGUCAUAUUUUUUACUAAAAUAAAAGAAGUUUUAAAACAAACAUUAUUUUGACAAAUAUGAACUUUAGGUAAUUUGUAUUUAAUAUCCAUUUUACUUCCAUUAGCUGUGCUUAAUCUUUCAGUAGUUUUAUGAUAAAAUUUUGUAGGAACUAGUCCUUCUUGAAUACAGUUUAAAUCAGCUCCGGUAUCAAUAAGAGCAAUGACUUCUAGUUCAUAAUCUUUUAUUACUAAUUUUACUUUGGCAUGCCACUUUUGUAGAUUGACCUUGUUAAUAAUGUUAAUGUUAGGUAAAACAUCACUAGGGUUGUCUUGACUAGGUUCGGUUUCAUCUGGAGAUUCUUCAAGAAUACUGGUAAGGUUUUUAUUAAGUUUUAAUAAUUUAAUUUGAUCUUCUAAAUUUUUAUCUUGUAAUUUUAGAUUUUUUAUUUCUAUUUUAAUAGAGUUAAUUUCAUGUUGUAAGUCAGAUAAACAGGGUUCUUUUUGUUUAUUUUUAAAUUUUUCUAAAGUAUUAUUAAGAUUUAUAAAAGGUUUAUCAGGUUGUAAUUUAGGAUUUAACCAUAAGGAUUUUAGUUUACUAACGUAUUGCUGUUUUAAAUUUAUAUCAUCAAUUUUAUUUAUUAAUUCUAAUAAAACUUCUUCUUCUUUUUGAGUUUUAGUUAUUACAUUAACUGUUUUACAACAAUUGUUACUACAUGUAAUAUUAAUGUUUUCAUUAUCAGAUGAAGAAUGACUAGGUGUGUUUUGAGUAUUGUUAAAGUCAGUAUCAGUACUAUAACUGUCUAUAUUAGUUAACUUAAAUAUUUCAAAAAUUUUAUUUUUAUCUUCUUCAGAAAUUUGAAGUUUAUUAAUUCUUGAUUUUGACCAACAUUCAUUUUUGUAAUGACCCUUUUUACCACAUUUAUGACAAGUAAUAUCCUUUUUAUUAUAUUUUUUACUAGGAGUAAUUUUUGAAGUAGACUUUUUAAUAGGUUUAUCAUAAAAUGUAUUAUGCUGAGUAUAUUUACUAUUUUUAUGAUGACUAUGUUUUCUGUGUGUUUUAAAUUCUUUUAAUUUCUGAGCUAUGUGUUUUCUGACGGAAGGAGCUAAAGAUGUUAACCGUAUUGUUCGCAGAAGUUGCCUAAUUCAUAUUUAGCUUUGUUUUUUAUCUUUACUUUCUUGUUUUCUGAUUUUCAUGUCAAUACACAUUCUUAAUCCUUCUUUUUGAAUAGUGCUAAUUAAUAUCACCAUAAGGUUAAUUGGUCUAAUCUAUUGUUCCUGUAGGUUGACUAAGGACAUCUCUAAUUUUGGUGAGCAAAGAGACUGGGUAAAUCCAUUAAUGAUUUUCUUCGCAAAAAGGUUUAGUACAGUCUUCUCUUAGCAUGACUCUGGAGGUAAAAUCAUCUUUAUUACACCAUCUGAAGUCACUAAGUGUUGGGCACUAGGGUAGCUAAUUGAUCAUGAUUUCGCGAAUGUUGUCACUAUUGUGUUCCUAUAAAUGUUUUAUACUAGUAAUAAAUUAAGUGUUAAUAUCCAAUCAGGUUUACCGGUUCCUAUAUUUUCGUCAAAAAUAGGAAGGUUAUUUUUCAGUUAAUUGAAUAGCAGUUUAAUCUGUUUCUCGUGACCUCCUCGUGAAGAUAUCUAUCCCACCAGUUUUUUAACAAUCCAGUAGAAACCGGAGGUUAAAAGAUCACAAACUAUAAAUAUCAGCUGAGUAAUAAUCUAAUAAUUGUUAAGUAACUAUUAAAACCAUGAUAAAUGAUGUAAUUUUUGUAAAAUUCUAUUUUCACUAAGACCAUCAAUAUUCCAUUCAAUAUAAUUUUAGCUUCAAACAAAACUGGUGAUCUAGAUUUCUUUCCUCGAAUUGAAUCUGGAGGAGUAGGUCUAGGAUACCACUUUUGUGUACAGAAAGUUUGGAACUCAGGAUGAAUUUAAUUUUAUUAACAUUAAACUGGGUUUCUAGUUCGACAAAUCUCAGUAGGUGGGAUGAGUAUCUGAUUCACUAGCUGAAGAUUGUAAUUCUAAUUCAUUUUGAUUAAUAACUUUAAUGGACGAACUUUCUGCCUUAGGUUGAAUUCUGGAUUCAAGACUAGCAAAGAGUUCUUCUAUUUUUUGAAUAUUACUAGCUUGGGUUUUUAGACCAAGUUGGCUUCGGUUACUAGGUAAGGAAGUUAAUGGUAUUUCUAAGUUUUUAGAAUUUUCUUGAAUAAUUGGUUUAUUAUCAAUUUUAGUUUCAAUAUUAUCUAAUUGCUUACCUAUUGUUGUUAGGUAUUGAUUAGUAUAAUUAUUUUGUUCAAUAACUUUGUUAAUUUCAGUAGUAUCUGUAGUGUAUUAAGGAGUAAGUCUUUUACCGUAGAUCCUGGUGUUCAAUCAAUAACAUUUUCUAAGGGUUGGGUCUACUAAAGAAACCUCUGUUCUUAUGUCAUUCAUAAACAUUUGCCAUUGACCUAUUAUUUUCUCUAUUUGAGAAGUAGUAUGUUUACUUUUAAGUUCAUCUCUUUUAGGUUUAUUUUCUUUAGAUCUAUACUCUUUAAUAAGUUUAUCAGUAUCUGGUUCGUAGACACUAUGUAUGGUUAAUAAUUGGGGAUUAACAGGAGUACUAACUUCAAAAUCUGUUUGUGUAGGUGACUCUUGGGAAGAUUCGGCAGAUUCUGCUUCCUCUUCUUCGUUACCGAAUUGUGGAUGUGUUGAAUAUUUAGGUUUACUAAUUUGUGAAGACGUCUCAACACCUUUAUUUGAAAACCUUUGUUCAAUGGAUCAAUAAAACUUUUACUAGAUUGUAACUACUUAACCGGUUAAACUGGGUCGUGACUUUAUGUUAUUAUAAGAUAUAUAUAAUAAUAUAAUAUAUAUAUUUCUAUAUAUAGAUUGCAAUUUUUUAUACAUUGUGCGCCUUUAUUCUAAAAGGCGCGCGCCUUGCGCGCGCCUUUUGAAAAUGCAAGGCGCACCCUUGCGCCUUUGUGCGCCUUGCCGCCUUUCACACACUGAUAAGACUCAAAAUCGAAUAAUCCAAGAGCGAUUUCAACAUUCAGGACAAACCAUUUCUAACUAUGUUCUAGGGGGUUGAAGGUUUGUCUGUAUAAUCUGCAAAAAUCAUCAGUCGACCCAUGUUUGAUUGAUCUCUCCCAAAUUCAACAUAAUCCGAAGUAUGACCUUAUUUCGGGAGUAUCCUGUGUGAAUUUAGAAAUAUAGGGUUGGUGCAUCUAUAUUAAUGAAAUAUAGACCUUUUUAGACUAAUUGUUCUCUUAUUGGUAAAAUUGUAUUGGAGCCAUAGACGUAACACAUAUCUCUGCGAAGAUGCCUCGGCACGGCAAGAAAGGGCGUACUGUGGCAGCCAGAAUAACACCACACAAAAGGUAAGGUCUGUCAUGUUCAUUUGACAUGAACUGCCUAUGUCUUAGGGUGUCGGGGCGGAUGCCCGCUAAGGUUGCAUGUGCUUUUAGUGGGCCGAAUAAUACUGCAAUGAAAUUUCCAAUGCCUCCGCCGGGGACAGGCAGAGUGAUGGACAAAAGGGGUGGCAAGACUCAUUAGGUAAAAAUAGCUCAAUUUUGUUUUCAAUCAAUAUCAGGUAAAUAUUAUGUGGUUUGAUUCUGGGUAUCAAAAUAUGCCGGAUUUUAUACACCAUACAAAGGCAAGAGGGAUCAUUUAAAUUGGUACAGUGGUCAUAAUCGAGAACCCACAAAGGAAGAGGAGUGGUUUAACUACCGCCACUCAGCACUUGGCCAAUGUCAUGGAGCUUGUUUUUUGGUGUUUAAGGCUCGAUUUCCCUAUAUUGAGAGACAUGCCACGUGGAUUUUAGUGUGAAAACGCAAAAAAUGUAUUCCUACUGCUUGUUGUGGCUAUUCAACAACUUUAUAAGGAUGCACGAUCAAAAUGAAUGAAGUUUUUCAAUAACUUUUCACGAUGAGGAAAUUGUAAUCAUGUAGGGUGUGGAAGUUCGAGCCACGAUACCAAGACCCAUGAACUCCCGCUCACUGGGAUAUGUUUAUGGUCCGUGAAGCUUGCCCGACAAAGAUAGCUUACCGAAACAACACCAACAUGAUUUCUUUUUUGUUGUUGUUUUUAUUAGAAACAAUGUUAGUUUGUAAUAAUAAAAUCUUCUGAUAAUAUUUCUUUAAAUAUUUUUUUAUUAAAAAUUAGGCAUUAAUAUGCUAUAAUAUUUAUGUAUAACAUUUUAAUUUGGUUUUGUUAUGAUAUUAUUCUCUCUAUAUAUAACCAUAUUUUCAAUGUCAGGUAUGGCUGUUGGUGAUAAUUUUGGACCUCCAUGUAAUUGUGGCGCCAGAAGAAAUGUAGUUAGAGUAGCAAGGACGAACGAAAAUUAUGGGAGAUCUUUUUAUUGGUGUCCUCGUGAUAUGAAUCAUAUCAGUGGGUUCAUAUGGGCAAAUGAAAUACCACAUGUCAAUACCAUGAGACCACGUGAAGUCAACCCUAGUUUUAAAGGCAAGAGGCGUAUCGAGGCGCAAAAGUCUGUGGAGCCUCAGACGCAAGGAGCGAUGUGAAGGCGCGUGCUUAUCGAAGCAAGGCGCAAAUUAUCCCGCCAAAAAAAAAUAUAAUAUACGUUUGAUAGAUGAGAUAAGGCCCAGUUCAUUAAAAUAGUAAAUUUCUUACAAAAUAUAUAUAAAAAAACUAAAAUUAGCAAAUCAUCCAAUAUCAUAAAAUACUAAUAAAAAAAGAAAAAGAAAGCGAAACAUUAAAAAUAAAAAUUAUUGUGCAAUAAUUCCCCUAUAUGGGAGAAUCAGAAAAUAGAUGAGCGGCGCUUAACUUUGUGCAACGCUGACGAAGAUCAGAUUUGAGUUUCGCCAAUGGCAGAUAGAGAAUCACAUGAGGCGUGCGAGGCCGCACAAGCGGCGCUCUCAUCAAAGUGGUUGUGCCUCACUCACGUCGAGGCCGCCGGCGCGCGCUCAGCGCCUUAGGCGCAGUGAGGCCGCGCCUCAACAAACAACUGAGUCAACCCAAUGGGACUUUGUUCACUUGGAGGCAGCUCUUUAUCUUGUUGUGUUGUUUCUUAUUAUUAUUCGUAACAUGUAAAAAUAUAUGACGCGAUCCAAAGCUAAAACAAUUUAGCUUUUUUCGCAUCUUAUUAUGUGUAAAAUGUAAAAUAUAGGUCAUAAGCUAACACUAUAGUUUUGUAAUUUUGAUGAAUUUUAUUCUAUGGUAUGAAAUGUAUGGUUCUUUUGUUCAAAUAUUUGCUAAUAAUUAAAUAAAUAUCAUAUUUUAGUAUAUGACAAACUGCAUAUAAAUGACCAGUUUUGGUUACCAAACAUGUUUUUGUUUUUAAUAUUUUAAAAAGAUUUGAAACGCAAACCAUUUUUAGUUUUUGUUUUGGCAAAUAAAUACACCAAAACAAACACCAAAAAAACAAAAACCAACACAGAAAAUAGAAAGUGUAAACAUUACCAACAUACCCCAAACAUCCCUAGGCAUUUGCCCCGGUCGUUUCUCGCCCGGGAAUGAUCUAUAGUGUACACAUAUAAUCAAGGGCAGCAAUUACCUUUAGGGCUUACAAAGAGAACAAAUAAUUGAAAACUGACUGACCUUCAAGAGAGGCUU
rnacentral:lncRNA from 1 species